CCUACGGGUGGCAGCAGUGGGGAAUAUUGGACAAUGGGCGAAAGCCUGAUCCAGCCAUGCCGCGUGUGUGAAGAAGGCCUUCGGGUUGUAAAGUACUUUCGUACGGGAAGAAAGCCUUGGGGCUAAUACCCUCGAGGCAUGACGUCACCCAAAGAAGAAGCACCGGCUAACUCCGUGCCAGCAGCCGCGGUAAUACGGAGGGUGCGAGCGUUAAUCGGAAUUACUGGGCGUAAAGCGCGCGUAGGCGGUCUGAUAAGCCGGUUGUGAAAGCCCCGGGCUCAACCUGGGAACGGCAUCCGGAACUGUCAGGCUAGAGUGCGGGAGAGGAAGGUAGAAUUCCGCGUGUAGCGGUGAAAUGCGUAGAGAUCGGGAGGAAUACCAGUGGCGAAGGCGGCCUUCUGGACUGACACUGACGCUGAGGUGCGAAAGCGUGGGUAGCAAACAGGAUUAGAUACCCCAGUAGUC
rnacentral:rRNA from 1 species